rnacentral:misc_RNA from 1 species
AAGUCGUAACAAGGUUUCCGUAGGUGAACCUGCGGAAGGAUCAUUAAAGUAUGUUACCGUUAUAUGAAACUCUCAUAUAACAUAACUUCAACCUUGUGAACUGUGAUUGCAACAUUCCCUUUGGCAAGUGGGUGCGUUGGGUUAUAUCUUGCCAAAGGUUGAAUACAACCUUAACUUUUGUUUAUUCAAGUUGACUGAUAUGGUUUAAUAUAAAAAUGUUAUACAACUUUUAACAGUGGAUCUCUUGGCUCCU